UACGUAGGGUCCGAGCGUUGUCCGGAGUGACUGGGCGUAAAGCGCGCGCAGGCGGCCGGGUAGGCACGACGUGAAAGCCCCGGGCUCAACCCGGGAGGGUCGUCGUGAACCGCCGGGCUUGAGGCCGGUAGAGGUGGGUGGAACUCCUGGUGGAGUGGUGAAAUGCGUAGAGAUCAGGAAGAACACCCGUGGCGAAGGCGGCCCACUGGGCCGGUACUGACGCUGAGGCGCGAAGGCGUGGGGAGCGAACGGG
rnacentral:rRNA from 1 species